rnacentral:sRNA from 1 species
AGAUCAGAUGGAAUUUGUUAUUAUGGGAAUGCGAAAUC